rnacentral:rRNA from 1 species
CCUACGGGAGGCAGCAGUGGGGAAUAUUGGGCAAUGGGCGCAAGCCUGACCCAGCAACGCCGCGUGAAGGAAGAAGGCUUUCGGGUUGUAAACUUCUUUUAAGGGGGAAGAGCAGAAGACGGUACCCCUUGAAUAAGCCACGGCUAACUACGUGCCAGCAGCCGCGGUAAUACGUAGGUGGCAAGCGUUGUCCGGAAUUACUGGGUGUAAAGGGCGUGCAGCCGGAGAGACAAGUCAGAUGUGAAAUCCACGGGCUCAACCCGUGAACUGCAUUUGAAACUGUUUCCCUUGAGUGUCGGAGAGGGAAUCGGAAUGCCUUGUGUAGCGGUGAAAUGCGUAGAGAUAAGGAAGAACACCAGUGGCGAAGGCGGAUUACUGGACGAUAACUGACGGUGAGGCUCGAAAGCGUGGGGAGCAAACAGGAUUAGAUACCCCAGUAGUC